rnacentral:lncRNA from 10 species
ACUUCGGGAGGGCAGCAACUGCUGGCUCAUGUGGUUUCUUCGGGCAGGGUUCAGCAGCUUCUGUCACCAGUUAGGUUUCGUGAGCUUCCUUCCCGUGUAGUCUUGAUUUCAUCACUUGACUCACUUCAGCGCAGCUAGUGGUUUCCGUUUCUGUACGCGGGCGCUCUGGUAGGGGCGCCUCACGUCCAAAGGAGGAGUCUUCUUCCAAAGAAGAGCCUUUGGUAUUUGGCAGAGCCUCGCCAAUUUGGGGCGCACCUCCCCUUCCUGGGAUGCUCUCAGAAGGCAAACCAAUUCCCAGAAGAGAGGGAAAAACAGCCACAACAGAGAGAACCUUUGCUGUCCCUGUUUGGAAAGAGAUUGGGAUUUCCUGGAGAGGGCUUGCUUCUACUGCAGGUUUGUUUAAAAGCUCAACAUCUAUUCUGGAAGAGAACAACGCAGACUCCAGGAAGAUGGCGUGUCAUUUUGGAAUGUGUCUUGCUGCUCUUCUCAUCAAAGGUAAAGUCCUCUUCUUCACCUUUUAACCUAGAGUAGCUGUGCAACUUUCUUUGACCAAUCAAAUAUGGUGGAAGUGAUGUUGCGUGACUUCCAGAUAUAAGUCUUAAAGAGAUUUUUCACUUUCUGCUUUCACUCUCUUGGAAUGUUGCCCUGAGAUCACCACACCAUGAAGAAGUCUGGGGCGAAAGGCCAUGUGGAGUGAGAGGCUCAGCUUCCCAGAUGAUCUCACUGAGCACAGCCCCCAGCCACCUGCCAGCUCAAUGCAACCUGGUGAUGGACCCAAGCAAAUACCAGCAGAAGAAUCACCUGGUCAACCCACAGAAUCAUGAGAAAUACUAAUUUGUUGUUGUCUUAAGCCAUGAAUUCUAGGUGAUGCUGCACUUCCAUGUCUUCUUGUUGAGCGUUGAAGCAGAAAACGAGUGGGAG